AUGCUCACUUCAGAAGCACAUAUGCUAAAAUUGGAACAAUACCAAGAAGAUUAUCAUGGUCCUAUGCAAGCAUGACAUGCAAAUUAGUGAAGUAUUGUGUGUGUGU
rnacentral:snRNA from 1 species